CCUACGGGAGGCAGCAGUGGGGAAUAUUGGACAAUGGGCGAAAGCCUGAUCCAGCCAUGCCGCGUGUGUGAAGAAGGCCUUCGGGUUGUAAAGCACUUUCAGUGGGGAAGAAAGCCUUGGGGCUAAUACCCUCGAGGAAGGACAUCACCCACAGAAGAAGCACCGGCUAACUCCGUGCCAGCAGCCGCGGUAAUACGGAGGGUGCGCGCGUUAAUCGGAAUUACUGGGCGUAAAGCGCGCGUAGGCGGUCUGAUAAGCCGGUUGUGAAAGCCCCGGGCUCAACCUGGGAACGGCAUCCGGAACUGUCAGGCUAGAGUGCAGGAGAGGAAGGUAGAAUUCCCGGUGUAGCGGUGAAAUGCGUAGAGAUCGGGAGGAAUACCAGUGGCGAAGGCGGCCUUCUGGACUGACACUGACGCUGAGGUGCGAAAGCGUGGGUAGCAAACAGGAUUAGAUACCCCGGUAGUC
rnacentral:rRNA from 1 species